rnacentral:rRNA from 1 species
GAUGAACGCUGGCGGCGUGCCUAAUACAUGCAAGUCGAGCGAACGGACGAGAAGCUUGCUUCUCUGAUGUUAGCGGCGGACGGGUGAGUAACACGUGGAUAACCUACCUAUAAGACUGGGAUAACUUCGGGAAACCGUAUCUAAUACCGGAUAAUAUUUUGAACCGCAUGGUUCAAAAGUGAAAGACGGUCUUGCUGUCACUUAUAGAUGUAUCCGCGCUGCAUUAGCUAGUUGGUAAGGUAACGGCUUACCAAGGCAACGAUGCAUAGCCGACCUGAGAGGGUGAUCGGCCACACUGGAACUGAGACACGGUCCAGACUCCUACGGGAGGCAGCAGUAGGGAAUCUUCCGCAAUGGGCGAAAGCCUGACGGAGCAACGCCGCGUGAGUGAUGAAGGUCUUCGGAUCGUAAAACUCUGUUAUUAGGGAAGAACAUAUGUGUAAGUAACUGUGCACAUCUUGACGGUACCUAAUCAGAAAGCCACGGCUAACUACGCG